UUUAUGGAGAGUUUGAUCCUGGCUCAGGAUUAACGCUAGCGGCGUGCCUAAGGUAUGCAAGUUGAAUGCUGAUUUACAAGCAUGGCAGACGGCUGAGUAACGCGUGCGACCCGCCCCAAACUCGGGGGAUAGCCCACCGAAAGGUGGUGUAAUACCCGAUAGUCCUUCCGAGGUAAAGCUCCGGCGGUUUAGGAUGAGCUUGCGUUCUAUCAGGUAGUUGGUGGGGUAAAUGCCUACCAAGCCUAUGACGGAUAGCUGGUCUGAGAGGACGAACAGCCAGACUGGGACUGCGAUACGGCCCAGACUCCUACGGGAGGCAGCAACUAGGAAUCAUGCGCAAUGGACGAAAGUCUGACGCUGCGACGCCGCGUGAAGGAUGAAGAUCUUAGGAUUGUAAACUUCUUUUAUAGGUGAACAAGUUCUGAGUGUAACCUAUGAAUAAGUGCCUGCUAACCACGUGCCAGAAGCAUCGGUAAUGCGUGGGGCACAAGCGUUAUCCGGAUUUAUUGGGCGUAAAGAGAUGCGUAGGCGUCUUAGAAAGUUUUGUGUUAAAUCUUCCGGCUCAACCGGAAAAUCGCAUAGAAAACUUCUAGGAUUGAGUUAGGUAGAGAAGAGGGGAAUUCCAGGUGGAGCGGUUAAAUGCGUUGAUAUCUGGAGGAAUACCAAUGGCGAAGGCACCUCUUUGGACCUAUACUGACGCUAAGGCUCGAAAGCGUGGGUAGCAAAACGGAUUAGAUACCCGUGUAGUCCACGCCGUAAACGAUCCCUGUUAGGUGUUUGGUUGUACACUAAGAUUCUCCUCCGGGAGUGUUAAGGUGUCAAUUGAGUGCCGCAGUUAACGCGUUAAGCAGGGCGCCUGGGGAUUACGGCCGCAAGGCUAAAACUCCAAGGAAUUGACGGGGACCCGCACAAGCAGUGGAGCGCCUGGUUUAAUUCGAUGAUCAGCGAAGAACCUCACCUGGGCUUGAACUAUAGCUGCAUGUUUCCAGAAACGGAUCCAGCCUUCGAGGGUGCUAUAGAGGUGCUGCAUGGCUGUCGUCAGCUCGUGUCGUGAGAUGGUAGGGUUAGCAGUCCCACUAACGAGAGCGCAACCCUGGUCC
rnacentral:rRNA from 1 species